rnacentral:rRNA from 1 species
UCGGGAAUUUUGGGCAAUGGGCGCAAGCCUGACCCAGCAACGCCGCGUGAAGGAUGAAAUCCCUCGGGAUGUAAACUUCGCAAGAACAGGAAGAAUAAGCUCGUGUUAAUAGCACGAGUGAUGACGGUACUGUUUGUAAGCUCCGGCUAACUCCGUGCCAGCAGCCGCGGUAAUACGGGGGGAGCAAGCGUUGUUCGGAUUUACUGGGCGUAAAGGGCGCGUAGGCGGUCAGUGCAAGUCAGUUGUGAAAUCUCCGGGCUUAACUCGGAAAGGUCAACUGAUACUGCUCGACUAGAGUGCGGAAGGGGCAACUGGAAUUCUUGGUGUAGCGGUGAAAUGCGUAGAUAUCAAGAGGAACACCUGCGGCGAAGGCGGGUUGCUGGGCCGACACUGACGCUGAGGCGCGAAAGCUAGGGGAGCGAACGG